rnacentral:tRNA from 1 species
ACCUUUUUAGUAUAAAUAAUAUAAUUGACUUCCAAUCAAUAGAUCUUUUAACAAAAGAUAAGGUA